UGUGACAUCGCGGGGAUGAGCACGGUGAUGCGUAGGGUGCUAAGCUUUAUAGGAGAUACGGGUGGUAAGUCGUGCGCAGGCGGUGGUGGUAGACGUAUGUCAAGUCCGCUGGCGAAACCGGGGAAGUGGAUGUGGUAAUGCAUCGCGGGAGUGCGGCAGAGGGGGAUGGACUUACUCGUGGAGCAGUGAAAGUGGGAGAUAUGCGGAGGAAUACCGAUGGCGAAGGCAAUACCGUGGGCCUGCCCUGACGCUCAUGCACGAAAGCGUGGGGAGCAAACAGGAUUAGAUACCCGAGUAGUC
rnacentral:rRNA from 1 species